GGACUGGCUGACAAACCUGACCCGGCUCUCUGAACGUCAGCCAGCUUUUAGAACUUAAGAAGCGGCUCGGAUGAGAAGCUAAACGUUUUCAAGGAAAAAAGUGCGGCUUUUCCUAAAACGAAUAACUUGAGAGAUGGAGAUACUGUCCCCGCCAGUACCACCUACCUCCCUUUGUUCCCGGCAAGUGAUGGUGGCUCAGCACAGCUGUGGUGUGAAAUCAGAGCAUCCACUUCACACACGGCCACCAAGAGUUUCAUUGCAGAAACCCUUUUCAUUACUGUACAGAGAAGGCGUCAUCCUGUCCUGCUCACUGCCUGUUUUUGCACCAGAUCUCGCUUCUCUCAGGGAAACGUGACCAGGGAGGACUCAGCCCACUUGACACUGCCGGACUCGACCCUUUCCAGCGUCCCCCAGCAGAGUGAAACUGAAUGCAGAAGACAGAGCUCACCUUCCAGCGUCCACGGCGGCCGUGAUGGCAAACCGGAAGUCUCGAUCUUGAACCUGUCUUCUGAGGUGUUGGCUAUUCCUGCCAACUUGGUGUCAUCUCCAAAUUUGAUGAGUUCCUAUUCCCUCAUCUGAGUUGUUUAUGAAGAUACUGAAGAGUACUGGGCCUAAGACGGAACUUGUUCACAGACUAUGCUUCUGCAGACUCACUCGGCCCACUCAUGGGUUAAUACGAAGAAUGGCUUAGCCAGCCAUGGGAGGGGAGAUCCCCUUCCUCGUUUUCUAAAGGGAUCCAUAAGAUGGGCUUCUCAGCAUAGAAGGAGUAUGAGAUCAGUUGUGUUUCUGAAAAGCCUUUGAAAUGUGGUUUUUCCACCAAUGUUGGGGAUCCCAUGGAGCAACUGUAAGAUGAUUGCAUGAUAUUAGGUCAUUUUAUUCUCCUGCAACCUUUUUAUGUUUCAUUUUUAUUCAUGUUUUAGUGUUUUGCAUGUUUUAUGUUUUUUCAUAUGAAUUACUUUAAUAGCAUGUUUUAGUAUUUAUAUAGCACAUGUAUGAAUACAAAUACAAAACCCAGCCAUAAAUAUUAAUCUUCUUUAGUGAGAACAGCUGAGUAUGCUUAAGAGAGAAAUUAACACCCGACUAACAAAAUGACAGUGGCAAAGCUGUGGAUUCCCUUGUGUACAUGUGUGUGGGUGUUGAAAACUCUGGAUGUCAUCUUACCAGCCACACUCUCCCUUGCCCUCAGCUGCUGAUGGGGGCGAG